GGUAACGGCCUACCAAGGCUACGAUCAGUAGGGGUUCUGAGAGGAUUAACCCCCACACUGGUACUGAGACACGGACCAGACUCCUACGGGAGGCAGCAGUGAGGAAUAUUGGUCAAUGGGCGGAAGCCUGAACCAGCCAUCCCGCGUGAAGGAAGACAGCCUUACGGGUUGUAAACUUCUUUUCUGUCAGAAGAAUAAGCUUGUCGAGACGAGUGAUGCCGGUAUGACAGGAAUAAGCAUCGGCUAACUCCGUGCCAGCAGCCGCGGUAAUACGGAGGAUGCAAGCGUUAUCCGGAUUUAUUGGGUUUAAAGGGUGCGCAGGUUGUUUGAUAAGUCAGUGGUGAAAGUCUGUCGCUUAACGGUAGGAUUGCCAUUGAUACUGUUGGACUUGAAUAUGGAUGAGGUAGGCGGAAUGUGUAGUGUAGCGGUGGAAUGCAUAGAUAUUACACAGAACACCGAUUGCGAAGGCAGCUUACUAAUCCAUCAUUGACGCUGAGGCACGAAAGCGUGGGGAUCAAACAGGAUUAGAUACCCUGGUAGUCCACGCCGUAAACGAUGAUCACUCGCUGUUUGCGAUAUACAGUAAGCGGCUAAGCGAAAGCGUUA
rnacentral:rRNA from 1 species